UUUCAGGCUGCCUGUCACGUGAUGCUCAGCCACCUGGGAUAACAAGGGUUUACGCUAAUGAAAGCCUGGGAGCACGUGUAGUGCCAUAUUCCCAAAAUAACUAUUUACUAUGGUUUGUGAUUGCAGACUUUAGGCAGAUAUAGUCAGGCUGAGGCGGUUAGUUUUUCCAUCUCGCCUCAUUUAGCCUACAUUUUAACCUUCACUAUAAUUUACUCCAGUAGUAUGUUAAGUGAGUAAAACCUAGAGUUAAUCACUGACAGGGUUAUUUAUUAAAGUGGGAAUUGUAGGGAAUUGAAAGUAAAUUUCAAAUC